CUCAGACCCAAAGCCCAACAAAUAAAAUCCGAAAAAUGAUACAUGGGGUGAAAACCAGAAAGGAGUAGUCCAAGAGUGGAGAAAACCCUAAUUUUUAGCGAAGAGGUUUAUAUCGGGAUUUGGUAAGGCACGGCGUUUCUCUUCCAUUAGUUCUCCAGCUCAAACGAAAUAGUCCCUUUUCGAUUUUGUACUAGAAUCAAGGUUUGAGAUCUAAACUUCCAUCUUAAUCAAAUACGUUCCAUUGUUAUUUUCGCUUUACUUCGUAGCGACUCAUUUGUUUCUUCGUUUAUUUUACGAUUUGUUUUAUCACGCAUCUUUUAGAUCAUAUUUAUCAUUUUUAGGUUUUAAUUACUUUUUUGAUCUCAUUUUUUAAAUUUAUCUUCAACUCUCGUGGCGGGAUCCCCCCUCCUCAAUCAUUUUUUUAGAAUCAAGUCAGAUGCAUUUUUAGGGAUUUCUUAUUUUAAAUGUAAUUGUUUUUAUUUAGGAUUUUUUUUUGCGUGCUACCGAAGGAUAAGUUAAUUCACACAGAAUAUGAAAUGCUGUUACCUCGAAAAAACUAGAUGUUAUUUGCAUUGAUUUCGAAGUUAGUCACUUAGACGUGUCUGCACAUCACUUUGGAUACAUUACAUACUAUCUGUGUGUAAUGUAGCUUUUUAUGCUAUUCAAUUUUUACCUUUUUUGGUAAUUUAUUUUUUGAAAUUUAGGAAGUUAUUCUAAAUAUAUAUAUUAUACUGUGCACAAAUAUUGAUCAAGAAUCAAGUGUUGUCAUUAAAAUGUGCAAACAAUUCAAUUCAUAAACUUUUUAUAAGUUUGCUUUGAUUCAGCUAUACUUUACAGUAUUGUUAUUUCAUAUUCUUUAAAAAAUAUAUAUUUUGUUUCCAAUCUUUAUUAAUUAGGUAUUUUCCUUGUGCACAUUGUAAAUAUAACAAUUCUAAAUUCUAAUAUCUAAAAAUAUAACAAUUCUAAAUUCUAAUAUCUAAAAAUAUAACAAUUCUAAAUUUCUAAUGUCUGGAAAUAUAACAGAGAAGAAGAAUCAUUAUCAUUUACGAAUCACACUCUGCAAUAUAAACAAUACCAUUAUUUUAUUAAACCAUCGUCAAAAAGGGAAAACACAUAGAAUACGCACAAAUUUUGAAAUAAUGAAAAACAAACGUAACGUAAAGAAAGAGAUUUGAAAAAAAGAUAAAAGAAUAAGGAAAAACUGAAGGAAUAGGAAUUUACAAGGACAAACUUACGUAAGGAGAAGGUGGCAAGAUUAGGUAUUUGAAAUAGAGAUUUUGAAAACGAUUGAUAAAAAAGGAUAAAUUUUUGAUUUGGCGAUGAACAAGGAAUAAGAGAGAACUAGCGAUAAUGCAAGAGUCAAAGAAGAUCAAAGGGUGAGUUGUUUUAAAUAGUUAUACCUAAUUUUCUGUCUGUUGAAAAAGAAGAGCUUUUCUUCCGGAUUAUUAUCCUCUCCGUUUGUUUUCAAUUUUAACCAAAACUAAGUGAUCUGAGAAUAUUAGGGUUUGAUCCUUUGAUUCUCAGAUCAUUUAGUUUUGGUUAAAGUUGAAAACAGACGGAGAGGAUAAUAAUCCGGAGGAAAAGCUCUUCUUUUUCAACAGACAGAAAAUCAUGUAUAACUAUUUAAGAUAACUCACCCUUUGAUCUUCUUUGACUCUUGCAUUAUCGCUAGUUCUUCUCUCUUAUUCCUUGUUCGUCGCCGAAUCGAAAAUUUAUCCUAUUUUUUCAAUCGUUUUCAAAAUCUCUAUUUCAAAUACCUAAUCUUGCCACCUUCUCCUUAUGUAAGUUUGUCUCUGUAAAUCCCUAUUCCUUCAGUUUUUCCUUAUUCUUUUAUCUUUUUUUCAAAACUCUUUCUUUACGUUUGUUUUUCAUUAUUUCAAAAAUUGUGCGUAUUCUAUGUGUUUUCCCUUUUUGACGAUGGUUUAAUUAAAUAACGGUAUUGCUUAUAUUGCAGAGUGUGACUCGUAAAUGAUAAUGAUUCUUUUUCUUUGUUAUAUUUCCAGACAUUAGAAAUUUAGAAUUGUUAUAUUUUUAGAUAUUAGAAUUUAGAAUUGUUAUAUUUUUAGAUAUUAGAAUUGUUAUAUUUACAGGUGUGUAAAUUGAGAUCCAACUGAGUUAGCUUGAAUUCGAGUUCAGAUUCGAGUCGAGUUUCAAAUUAAGUUAACGAGUCGAGUAUUUCUUCCCAACUUCCCUUGUUAUUGGCUAAAGCGUGAAUUCUUUUAGGUAGUUUUCAUAGGAACUCUUAUAGUAUGAAUACUCGUAAGUCCAAUACCAUUGAUGUCCCACUGCUUUGAUAGUAAUGGCUGGAC
rnacentral:lncRNA from 1 species